rnacentral:rRNA from 1 species
AUGAACGCUGGCGGCGUGCCUAAUACAUGCCCGUCGAGCGCACGGACGAGAAGCUUGCUUCUCUGAUGUUAGCGGCGGACGGGUGAGUAACACGUGGAUAACCUACCUAUAAGACUGGGAUAACUUCGGGAAACCGGAGCUAAUACCGGAUAAUAUUUUGAACCGCAUGGUUCAAAAGUGAAAGACGGUCUUGCUGUCACUUAUAGAUGGAUCCGCGCUGCAUUAGCUAGUUGGUAAGGUAACGGCUUACCAAGGCAACGAUGCAUAGCCGACCUGAGAGGGUGAUCGGCCACACAGGAGCUGAGACACGGUCCAGACUCCUACGGGAGGCAGCAGGAGGGAAUCUUCCGCAAUGGGCGAAAGCCUGACGGAGCAACGCCGCGUGAGUGAUGAAGGUCUUCGGAUCGUAAAACUCUGUUAUUAGGGAAGAACAUAUGUGUAAGUAACUGUGCACAUCUUGACGGUACCUAAUCAGAAAGCCACGGCUAACUACGU